GAAUUCGCCCUUAGAGUUUGAUCCUGGCUCAGAUUGAACGCUGGCGGCAUGCCUAACACAUGCAAGUCGAACGGAAACGAUGGGAGCUUGCUCCCAGGCGUCGAGUGGCGGACGGGUGAGUAAUACUUAGGAAUCUGCCCAGUAGUGGGGGACAACUCGGGGAAACUCGAGCUAAUACCGCAUACGCCCUAUGGGGGAAAGUGGAGGAUCUUCGGACUUCACGCUAUUGGAUGAGCCUAAGUCGGAUUAGCUUGUUGGUGAGGUAAAGGCUCACCAAGGCGACGAUCCGUAGCUGGUCUGAGAGGACGAUCAGCCACACUGGGACUGAGACACGGCCCAGACUCCUACGGGAGGCAGCAGUGGGGAAUAUUGGACAAUGGGGGCAACCCUGAUCCAGCAAUGCCGCGUGUGUGAAGAAGGCCUGCGGGUUGUAAAGCACUUUCAGUAGAGAAGAAAAGCUUACGGUUAAUACCCGUGAGUCUUGACGUUACCUACAGAAGAAGCUCCGGCUAACUCCGUGCCAGCAGCCGCGGUAAUAAGGGCGAAUUC
rnacentral:rRNA from 1 species